rnacentral:sRNA from 1 species
GUGACACUCCUGGAGACUGAACUACUCUAGCCACAAAACAGGUGCAGCACAGGCAGCAGUAAUGCAAGCAUCCCACAUACUGCCCUAUGACUCAGCCCUGGACUGCAGGCACUGUCCAUAGGAUUGAGAAGGGAAUUCAGUCUCCCUGAUCCAUACAGUCAGUGACUUUU